rfam:Thermoplasmatales archaeon DG-70-1 WOR1_52_54_1004, whole genome shotgun sequence.
GGGCCCAUGGUCUAGUGGUUAUGACGUUGCCUUCACGAGGCAAAGGUCCCGAGUUCGAAUCUCGGUGGGCCCA